rnacentral:tRNA from 2 species
AGGGACUUAGCUCAGCUGGUAGAGCGCCACCCUUACAAGGUGGAUGUCAUCGGUUCGAACCCGGUAGUCCCUACCA